rnacentral:misc_RNA from 1 species
AAAGUCGUAACAAGGUUUCCGUAGGUGAACCUGCGGAAGGAUCAUUACCUUUCAGUACAGAAGCGUUGUGUUGGUUGAGUUGUGCCGGUCGAGUCCGCCGAAAGGUGGGAUUCCUGGUGGCAACUCCCUUCAUAAUUCUUCCUGUCUAUCAUCCUUGUCUUUUGCGUACUAUUGUUUCCUCGGCGGGCCUGCCCGCCGAUUGGACAACCUUAUAACCUAUUCAAUUUUCAAUCAGCGUCUGAAAUACUAUAAUGAUUACAACUUUCAACAACGGAUCUCUUGGUUCUG